rnacentral:rRNA from 1 species
GAAGAGGGGCCCGCGUUCCGAUUAGCUAGUUGGUGAGGUAAUGGCUCACCAAGGCAACGAUCGGUAGCCGGCCUGAGAGGGCGGACGGCCACACUGGGACUGAGACACGGCCCAGACUCCUACGGGAGGCAGCAGUGGGGAAUUGUUCGCAAUGGGCGCAAGCCUGACGACGCAACGCCGCGUGGAGGAUGAAGGNCUUCGGAUUGUAAACUCCUGUUGCCCGGGACGAAAUGCUUCGACCUAACACGUCGAAGUUUGACGGUACCGGGUGAGGAAGCCC